UCGGGAAUUUUGGGCAAUGGGGGAAACCCUGACCCAGCAACGCCGCGUGAAGGAUGAAGUAUUUCGGUAUGUAAACUUCGAAAGAAUAGGAAGAAUAAAUGACGGUACUAUUUAUAAGGUCCGGCUAACUACGUGCCAGCAGCCGCGGUAAUACGUAGGGACCAAGCGUUGUUCGGAUUUACUGGGCGUAAAGGGCGCGUAGGCGGCAUGACAAGUCACUUGUGAAAUCUCUGGGCUUAACCCAGAACGGCCAAGUGAUACUGUCGCGCUAGAGUGCAGAAGGGGCAAUCGGAAUUCUUGGUGUAGCGGUGAAAUGCGUAGAUAUCAAGAGGAACACCUGAGGUGAAGACGGGUUGCUGGGCUGACACUGACGCUGAGGCGCGAAAGCCAGGGGAGCAAACGGGAUUAGAUACCCCAGUAGUCCCUGAG
rnacentral:rRNA from 1 species